GGGGCAAGACACAGUCUCCCUCCACAGUGGCCGGAUGUCAGCCAGGGCAGAUGUCUCCCUCAUCCAGACCUCUUGAUGAUGGGCAGGUGAUGCAGGACACAGCCAUGCAGAGCUAGCUGUGGAUUCAGGCAUCAGGGAACUGUAACGGGCGCAUUUCCAUCACAUCGUCUGCUUCCACAGCCUUGUCCUCUUCCUUCUGCCUGUGAAAAGCUUCAACAUGCUUCACAACACCAGUGGCCUCUCGGCAAGAAGGUUCAUGUCACUUUUGGCGUGGCUGAGUGCCACUGAGGCAAAUAGAUGGCCUGUGAGAUACAGAGAGGGGCUGAAGAUUCUUCUUUGUCUGUAUCUAUUGGGCCAACAGGCUGCGGAAACACUGACAGCAAUACUGGCAGCAUAACUCACAGGGAACUUACUGUGAACCAAGAACUCCACGUGAAACAACAGCCCCUUCAAUCUCACAAUAACUGUGCAAAAUAGGUACUAUUGUUAUUAGCCCCAUUUUGUGGAAGAGGAACAAUGAGGCUCAUAAAAGCGAAGUAACUUGUCCACGGUCACAUUGUAAAUAAGUGCUACGGGUUAUCUGGUUUAAAAGUCUAAACCUUGAACAACUUCACAGAGACACGCUAUGAGAGAAGCGGCUGGAAGCAAGAAUCUGGGAGAUGGAUAGAAGCAUCAUUCAUCCAAGGCUCCUGUGAAGGUCAGAUAAGGUGAACCAUAGUAUCAGCUGCUGUCUUUUGCCACAGGCUUCUGCCACCGUCGGAUGAGCUGCCCUGAACGGGCAAGCCCAGAGAAGCCUCCCCACUCUUCAGUUACCUCUAUUGGACAUUUAGGUCACAGCAACGUGAAGAUCACUGACAUGUGAUGAUUAUUAGUGCCUUUCUCGUGGAAAUGUGCCCAUGAUCAUAAGCACAGGCAAGGGAGAAGUGAGGCUCGCCCUUGUGUCUUCUCUCUUCUGCACCUGCUGCCUUGCCCCCUACAUCUGUACCUCAUUUUAACGAUCUGAGACCCUCGCCAGACUCUUCUGCCUGAUAUGUGACUUCCAACUUCUGGAAUAGACACCUCCAUAAACUCUUUUCCUUCAUAA